rnacentral:misc_RNA from 1 species
CCAAUAGCGUAUAUUAAAGUUGUUGCAGUUAAAAAGCUCGUAGUUGAAUUUCGGGAUUGACGUGACGGUCAUGCCUUAAGGGGUAUGAACUGUUGCUGUUGAUUUCUCACCUUCUGGAGAAACUUGAUGUCCUUUAUUGGGUGUCUUGCGGAUCCAGGACCUUUACCUUGAAAAAAUUAGAGUGUUUAAAGCAGGCAUUUUUGCUCGAAUACAUUAGCAUGGAAUAAAAGAAUAGGACGGCAUGGUUCUAUUUUGUUGGUUUCUAGGAUCACCGUAAUGAUUAAUAGGGAUAGUUGGGGGCAUUAGUAUUCAAUUGUCAGAGGUGAAAUUCUUGGAUUUAUUGAAGACUAACUACUGCGAAAGCAUUUGCCAAGGAUGUUUUCAUUAAUCAAGAACGAAAGUUAGGGGAUCGAAGACGAUCAGAUACCGUCGUAGUCUUAACCAUAAACUAUGCCGACUAGGAAUCAGACGAUGUUAAUUUUUUAAUGACUCGUUUGGCACCUUACA